UGGAAAACAGUGAAACUGUUUGUUUUAGUGCCAGGCAGUAUCAUAUUACUUCUUUAAUUAUACAAUGCAGUAUUCUGCUAAAUACCAUAUUAAUAUGCAUUCAACUGGUUAUCUAUACCAGAUACAACCCAAGUAUGAUUACGAAGCAUACCGAAACCAAGCAGUUUUAAACAGGAGCAGAUUUUGGCAGCAACGCACUGUUCUGUAUGGAUGUGGCUCCCACAGCUUCAGAAAAAUCAAGACACAAAAUUCCCAGUUGUCAUGGAGACAAAAGAAUCUGAGGUGCUUUGUAUAUAAACUACUUGUUGGUAAUGUGCAGAACUGAGAUGUCAGUCUCUUCCGUUAGAUCUCUCAAAAGAUAAUAAAACAAGCAAACACGAUUUAGAAAGUAAUGUAAGAGUCAAAAACCCUGGUUCUUUGCGUCUAAGUGCAUGUUAGUACAACACAUAAACACAGACUCUGCUCAAGAAUCUGCAAUCAAGAAUCGGAUCCCUUUCUCAAAGCUUGAGUCACACUGCAACUCACAGUUCUGUCAGUUAAAUAGACCAGAUUAAAAUGAACCCCUUUGCAUGUACAAAUGUACAAGCAGGAGGCAGAAAUGAAUGGCUGAACAGGACGUUAAAAUGAAAAGUUAAAAGUUAAACUACCGUACAAGAACUGCAAAAGUAUGGAAAAAAAAAUAAAAAUGGAAAAAGUUCAUCACAUCAAUCGGAAUAUCUGCUUGUUUACAGACUCUAAACUCCAGCAACCUGAUUAGCUACAAAUUGCUGAAGAUAGAAGUUGGAGGGUUAUAACGUAAAGGUAUGAAAUGCAAAGGUCACUUUGAAAUCUUGAUUUUCUAAAUGUGUCAAAGAUCUGAUGGCCCCCUGCACAAUUGCAAUAAAAUAAAAUAAUUAAAUGGCCUUGCUAGGAUCUAAGAGGGGAUCAGGCCAAUGUCAGUCACUUAUUUAGCCACUGGAAUGUAGUUCAUAGCUAAUCUAAUAUUAUUCUCAGCUGUUCAUUCAGGAAGCUAAGUCAACCCUGUAGCCAUAAUUGGCUCGGCUCAUAAAAGUCAUUACUUUUGGAUAAUGGGUGUGUAGGCUUAACUCAGACCAGCCGCUGGAUAUGUAGCUGCUAGUUAGCUAAUACC
ensembl:lncRNA